rfam:Gossypium arboreum cultivar AKA8401 contig_8680_9, whole genome shotgun sequence.
AAUGGGAGAAUGACAAAUCAGAUUUUUCCUUCUAAUUUUCAGCUUUUUUCUCCUGAAAAAAUCCAAAUCCAACUAAAAAUACUAGAAAUUAGGAGAAAAAAUCUGAUUUGUCAUUCUCCCGUU